rnacentral:rRNA from 1 species
GACGAACGCUGGCGGCGUGCUUAACACAUGCAAGUCGAACGAUGAAGCGGUGCUUGCACCGUGGCUUAGUGGCGAACGGGUGAGUAAUACGUGAGUGACCUACCUUUGACUCUGGGAUAAGCCUGGGAAACUGGGUCUAAUACCGGAUACGACCAAUCUCUGCAUGGGGUGUUGGUGGAAAGCGUUAUGGAGUGGUUUUAGAUGGGCUCACGGCCUAUCAGCUUGUUGGUGAGGUAAUGGCUUACCAAGGCGACGACGGGUAGCCGGCCUGAGAGGGUGACCGGCCACACUGGGACUGAGACACGGCCCAGACUCCUACGGGAGGCAGCAGUGGGGAAUAUUGCACAAUGGGCGCUAGCCUGAUGCAGCGACGCCGCGUGAGGGAUGACGGCCUUCGGGUUGUAAACCUCUGUUAGCAUCGAAGAAGCGAAAGUGACGGUAGGUGCAGAGAAAGCGCCGGCUAACUACGUG